rnacentral:rRNA from 1 species
AUACGGAGGGUGCAAGCGUUACUCGGAAUUACUGGGCGUAAAGCGUACGUAGGCGGUUCGUUAAGUUAGAUGUGAAAGCCCCGGGCUUAACCUGGGAACUGCAUUUAAAACUGGCGGACUAGAGUUGAGUAGAGGGGAGUGGAAUUUCAGGUGUAGCGGUGAAAUGCGUAGAGAUCUGAAGGAACACCAGUGGCGAAGGCGACUCCCUGGACUCGAACUGACGCUGAGGUACGAAAGCGUGGGUAGCAAACGGGAUUAGAUACCCUAGUAGUCC